AUUGAACGCUGGCGGCAUGCUUUACACAUGCAAGUCGAACGGUAACAGGCCGCAAGGUGCUGACGAGUGGCGCACGGGUGAGUAAUGCAUCGGAACGUGCCCAGUCGUGGGGGAUAACUACUUGAAAGAGUAGCUAAUACCGCAUACGAUCUAUGGAUGAAAGCGGGGGACCGUAAGGCCUCGCGCGAUUGGAGCGGCCGAUGUCAGAUUAGGUAGUUGGUGGGGUAAAGGCUCACCAAGCCAACGAUCUGUAGCUGGUCUGAGAGGACGACCAGCCACACUGGGACUGAGACACGGCCCAGACUCCUACGGGAGGCAGCAGUGGGGAAUUUUGGACAAUGGGCGCAAGCCUGAUCCAGCAAUGCCGCGUGCAGGAAGAAGGCCUUCGGGUUGUAAACUGCUUUUGUACGGAACGAAACGGCUCUGGUUAAUACCCGGGGCUAAUGACGGUACCGUAAGAAUAAGCACCGGCUAACUACGUG
rnacentral:rRNA from 1 species